AAGAUCGCCCGUUAAAGUGGUACGUGAGCCGGGUUUA
rnacentral:rRNA from 1 species